UACGGAGGAUCCAAGCGUUAUCCGGAAUCAUUGGGCUUAAAGGGUUCGUAGGCGGGUUAAUCAGUCAGUGGUGAAAGUCUGCAGCUUAACUGUAGAAUUGCCAUUGAUACUGUUAACCUUGAGUAAGUAUGAAGUGGGUAGAAUUUGUAGUGUAGCGGUGAAAUGCAUAGAUAUUACAUAGAAUACCGAUUGCGAAGGCAGAUCACUAAUAAUUUACUGACGCUGAGGGACGAAAGCGUAGGUAGCGAACAGG
rnacentral:misc_RNA from 1 species